GAGAGAUGAGGAAGACAUCGAUACUCAAAGAAUACGAGUAACAUGAGGGUCCUCAAGCCGUGGGUUUGAAAAGCAUUAGGAGAAUCUAGAAGAGGGAGAUGGAGUUUUAAGUGGCUUAUUCUAUAGGAAAAUUGACACUUUCUCAAAAAAAUAUCAAAAUUUAUUAAUAUUCUAGUGCGGAUUUGUACCUAGUUGAAUGAAAGCUAAGGACCCUGCUCUCUAAUGAGUUUUGUCAUGCUUUGAGAAAGGGGAUUUGAUAUAAUUGCAUAAGUUGCCGCUGCUGUUGCCGCCCAUCGACAACACCUGACCUUCUCCUAGGAACCUCUUAUCGAUGUCACUGUUGCUACUGUUGCUGCUGCUGCCUUCGCCAUUGCAAAAUCUCACCGGAAAAGAUCGGAUCUCCACCUCAUGAGCCACCCAGGAGGACCUUGACCUCGCAACACCCUAGUUCGGAGCCUACCAGGAGAAAGUGACACACCAUCGCCAUCCCAAGGGAGCCUGCUGCUGCUCGAGUACAAGGAGGUGGUAGUAGGGGAGAGCUCGAGUAUGAGGAGGAAGUUGAUACGGGAGAACUCCGAAGUGGCAGUGUAACUGGUGGGAGUGACAGUGUGAGGACUGGUGGGAGGACGGCUAGGGGAGGAUGAGGUUGUCAGAAUGGUGACACAGAAGUGAGCUGCCGGAGGGAGAGGAGGUGGCGUGGAUGGCAGUCGCAGCUGAUAUAGACCAGGCGAGCUGGACUAGGAGCAAUUGGGCGGAGGGAAGAAGCUAGCUGACCAGACGGACCUGGGGCCUGAUCACAGUGCGGAGGUUUCUGCGUGGUUCCAUUUCUGAUUGCAGGAGACUUUGGUAUGCUUGGACCGAGUCCUAACAUCAUUCUUCCGGUUCGGAUUUGACGGAGAUUAGCUGAUUAGAAAUUAGAAUGCACUCAACAUUCACUUUGUAACUCCAAUUGCAAUUCACCGAGGCCGUACAUGGUCCUAGCAACACCGGACAUGGCUACUUAUCAAAUCAAAAAAAAAAAAA